ensembl:rRNA 5S_rRNA 5S ribosomal RNA
GUCUACGGCCAUACCACCCUGAACGUGCCUGAUCUUGUCUGAUCUCCAAAGCUAAGCAGGGUUGGGCCUGGUUAGUACUUGGUUGGGAGACUGCAUUGGAAUACCGGGUGCUGUAGGCU